rnacentral:misc_RNA from 1 species
AACAAGGCGUACCUGCGGACCUGCGGAGGGAUCAUUACGAGAGUGUCACCACUCCCAACCCAUUGUUUACCUACCCGUCCACCGUGCUUCGGCAGGCAGCCCUGUGGGACAGGGCCCCGCCUCCCCUCGCGGGGGGUGCCUGCCGCUGGCCAACCAAAAUUCUAGCUGUUUUUGUAACAUCUGAGUCUUCCACAAAUAAACAAAACUUUUAACAACGGAUCUCAGAUCGGAAGAGCACAC